GAUGAACGCUGGCGGCGUGCCUAAUACAUGCAAGUCGAGCGAAUGGAUUAAGAGCUUGCUCUUAUGAAGUUAGCGGCGGACGGGUGAGUAACACGUGGGUAACCUGCCCAUAAGACUGGGAUAACUCCGGGAAACCGGGGCUAAUACCGGAUAACAUUUUGAACCGCAUGGUUCGAAAUUGAAAGGCGGCUUCGGCUGUCACUUAUGGAUGGACCCGCGUCGCAUUAGCUAGUUGGUGAGGUAACGGCUCACCAAGGCAACGAUGCGUAGCCGAACUGGGAGGGUGCUCGGGCACACUGGGACUGAGACGCAGCCCAGACUCCUACGGGAGGCAGCAGUAGGGAAUCUUCCGCAAUGGACGAAAGUCUGACGGAGCAACGCCGCGUGAGUGAUGAAGGCUUUCGGGUCGUAAAACUCUGUUGUUAGGGAAGAACAAGUGCUAGUUGAAUAAGCUGGCACCUUGACGGUACCUAACCAGAAAGCCACGGCUAACUACGUGCCAGCCGCCGCCGUAA
rnacentral:rRNA from 1 species